AGUGAACGCUGGCGGUAGGCCUAACACAUGCAAGUCGAACGGCAGCACAGUAAGAGCUUGCUCUUACGGGUGGCGAGUGGCGGACGGGUGAGGAAUACGUCGGAAUCUACUUUUUCGUGGGGGAUAACGUAGGGAAACUUACGCUAAUACCGCAUACGACCUACGGGUGAAAGCAGGGGAUCUUCGGACCUUGCGCGAUUGAAUGAGCCGAUGUCGGAUUAGCUAGUUGGCGGGGUAAAGGCCCACCAAGGCGACGAUCCGUAGCUGGUCUGAGAGGAUGAUCAGCCACACUGGAACUGAGGCACGGUCCAGACUCCUACGGGAGGCAGCAGUGGGGAAUAUUGGACAAUGGGCGCAAGCCUGAUCCAGCCAUACCGCGUGGGUGAAGAAGGCCUUCGGGUUGUAAAGCCCUUUUGUUGGGAAAGAAAAGCAGCAGGUUAAUACCCCGCUGUUCUGACGGUACCCAAAGAAUAAGCACCGGCUAACUUCGUG
rnacentral:rRNA from 1 species